AUUGAACGCUGGCGGAAUGCUUUACACAUGCAAGUCGAGCGGCAGCGCGGCCUUCGGGCUGGCGGCGAGCGGCGAACGGGUGAGUAAUGCAUCGGAACAUGCCCAGUCGGGGGGGAUAACACUUCGAAAGAAGUGCUAAUACCGCAUACGUCCUGAGGGGGAAAGCGGGGGAUCGCAAGACCUCGCGCGAUUGGAGUGGCCGAUGUCAGAUUAGCUAGUUGGUGGGGUAAAGGCCUACCAAGGCGACGAUCUGUAGCUGGUCUGAGAGGAUGAUCAGCCACACUGGGGCUGAGACACCGCCCAGACUCCUGCGGGAGGCCGCAGUGGGGAAUUUUGGACAAUGGGGGCAACCCUGGUCCAGCCAUUCCGCGUGAGUGACGGCGGCCUUCGGGUUGUAAAGCUCUUUCGGCAGGAACGAAACGGUGGGCUCUAACAUAGUCCGCUAAUGACGGUACCUGAAGAAGAAGCACCGGCUAACUACGUG
rnacentral:rRNA from 1 species